UCCGUAGGUGAACCUGCGGAGGGAUCAUUACAAGAACGCCCGGGCUUCGGCCUGGUUAUUCAUAACCCUUUGUUGUCCGACUCUGUUGCCUCCGGGGCGACCCUGCCUUCGGGCGGGGGCUCCGGGUGGACACUUCAAACUCUUGCGUAACUUUGCAGUCUGAGUAAACUUAAUUAACAAAUUAAAACUUUUAACAACGGAUCUCUUGGUUCUGGCAUCGAUGAAGAACGCAGCGAAAUGCGAUAAGUAAUGUGAAUUGCAGAAUUCAGUGAAUCAUCGAAUCUUUGAACGCACAUUGCGCCCCCUGGUAUUCCGGGGGGCAUGCCUGUUCGAGCGUCAUUUCACCACUCAAGCCUCGCUUGGUAUUGGGCAACGCGGUCCGCCGCGUGCCUCAAAUCGUCCGGCUGGGUCUUCUGUCCCCUAAGCGUUGUGGAAACUAUUCGCUAAAGGGUGUUCGGGAGGCUACGCCGUAAAACAACCCCAUUUCUAAGGUUGACCUCGGAUCAGGUAGGGAUACCCGCUGAACUUAA
rnacentral:rRNA from 1 species